rnacentral:other from 1 species
UUUGUCCUGGGAUGUUCGUGAAUCUCUAUCGGUUUUAACCCACAGAGUGUAUACGGGAGACCGGGUUUGCCUGGAUAAUGUCAGGCCAUCUCGAAUGGAAGGCAGAUACAGGCAAUAGGUCACCCACCUGCUGUGAAGCGGGUAAUAAAAUCGUAGAGAAAACGGCAUCAUGGGAGGAAU